rnacentral:hammerhead_ribozyme from 1 species
ACACUGCUGAGGAGUCCCAUAAUAGGACGAAACGGCCGUCCAGUU